rnacentral:rRNA from 1 species
CAAGAGCGUAUAUUAAAGUUGUUGCAGUUAAAAAGCUCGUAGUUGGAUUUCUGGUACAACGCGCCUGGCCCGCUUACGUGAGUGCCGGUGCGCGUUUGCCAUCCUUCUAGAAAACGUCUCUACUCGGGCAACUGAGCCGGAUUCGCGAUCUAGAUCUUUUACUUUGAAAAAUUAGAGUGUUUAAAGCAGGCUUUUGCUAUGAAUACAUUAGCAUGGAAUAAUAAUCUAGGACUUCGGUUCUAUUUUGUUGGUUUCUAGUACUGAAGUAAUGAUUGAUAGGGAGUAGUUGGGGGUUGGCUAGUAUUGGGUCGGGCCGACGAGGUGGAAAUUACUUGGAUUCGCUCAAGACUAACUUAUGCGAAAGCAUUCACCAAGGAUGUCUUCUUUAAUUCAAGAACGAAAGUUAGGGGGAGUCGAAGACGAUCAGAUACCAU